AGACACUGGGCUGGUUUUACUGGUCUCCCCACACUGUACAGAAAGCCAGGCCUCUCCUUGCACAGCUGGUUUCCUUGGUGGUGUGAGUCACUUCUGUUAUGUUGCUCCGUUCAUCCAUAUUAUGUAGGUUUUUACUAGCUGCCUUCUCAGAGUAUGUCCUGGCCUCCCAUAACAGAAGAAGAUCUAAUUGUGAUGUAUCCAAAUAUGUCAUAAGGCAGGUUGUAAUCAGACUGAAGAUUGGGGUGAAAUACUCACCUCUGUGGAUCAAGAGAAAGGAAGAUUGCUUUUUAAACAUUUUUCUGCAGAAUCACAGAGCAUGGUUA
ensembl:lncRNA